rnacentral:lncRNA from 1 species
CCAAAGCCAGCAUUAGGGAUGUGCAAGUGACUACUGAACAAUCCAACUGCUUGCCGAGACUCUCAUCGGAGGUCCUCUGUGUCCUUGCACAUCGUUGGACGGUUAUUCUGGCAAUGCCGAAGUGCUUCAAGUGGAAGGGAAAGGGAACUCACAUUCGCUAAGCACCCGCACCGUGCCAAGCACUGCACUCCCUGCCUCACCCAUGAGAUCUUCAUCUGAUCCUCUCACCAAAUUCAAGAGAUCAGCUUCUGCUGUGGAAAUGGAGCCUUGGAGUGGUGUGCAUGAUAAGAUGUUGAGUAAACCUGCAGGAAAGGAAGGCCCAUCAUUCAUUCACCAAACAGAAACAUACAAGAGAACAAAGAGAGCCUAGCGCGGGGUGGUUUCAUAUUUUACAUGGAAAGAGGCUACAAUUACGUGUGUGGUCAGACCCACAGUGGAAUCCUUCUACCUGUGAAUGUACCCGCUGGGACCUCUAUCUACUAUGGACUCCAAACGCCUAAGAGUUGCCUACUUUGGGUUUUUCUGCCCCUUCUGUUCCACCUACUUUGCAGCUGGGGAGUCCUGGGUCUAGGUUCUUCUGGCUCUCCUGUGAGGCUUGAAAACACCGACACCAGUCCCUGGGAAGACUUGUCAACACUACCAG